rnacentral:rRNA from 1 species
AACGAACGCUGGCGGCAUGCCUAAUACAUGCAAGUCGAACGAGAAAGCUUCUUCGGAAGUGAUUAAAGUGGCGCACGGGUGCGUAACACGUAGAUGAUCUGCCCAUGAGAGGGGUACAACAGGGAGAAAUUCCUGCUAAUACCGCGUAAGUUGUUUAUUUUGAAGAGUAAACAAGAAAGGUGGCCUCUGAUUUAAGCUAUCGCUGAUGGAUGAGUCUGCGGACCAUUAGUUUGUUGGUGGGGUAAUGGCCUACCAAGGCGACGAUGGUUAGCCGGUCUGAGAGGACGAUCGGCCACACUGGAACUGAGAUACGGUCCAGACUCCUACGGGAGGCAGCAGUAGGGAAUAUUGCGCAAUGGGCGAAAGCCUGACGCAGCAAUGCCGCAUGAGUGAGGAAGGCCUUAGGGUUGUAAAGCUCUGUCAGAAGGGACAAAUGGCAUGAAUCGUAAUAUGGUUCAUGUUUGAUGGUACCUUCAAAGGAAGCACCGGCUAACUUCGUGCCAGCCGCCGCCGUAACAC